rnacentral:rRNA from 1 species
UACAGAGGGUGCGAGCGUUAAUCGGAAUUACUGGGCGUAAAGCGCGCGUAGGCGGCUUUGCAAGUCGGGUGUGAAAUCCCCAGGCUUAACCUGGGGAACCGCAUUCGAGACUGCAUUGCUAGAGUAUGGGAGAGGGAAGUGGAAUUUCCGGUGUAGCGGUGAAAUGCGUAGAUAUCGGAAGGAACAUCAGUGGCGAAAGCGACUUCCUGGACCAAUACUGACGCUCAUGUGCGAAAGCGUGGGGAGCAAACAGG